AUGGACGAGCUUCUCUCCCCGUACGCCCCUUUCUUCCCGUCAUCGCCGCCAUCCCAGUUCUCCACCGCCGAGGGGCACCACCACCAUGUCUUCGAGCUCGCCUCCUGCGAGGUCCCCGAGCAAUGGCUAGUCGGCGACACCGUCGUGCCGGCCAAGAGCGAGCACGGAGAUUAUGUGUGGCCUGCGGGGAGCUCCUCGCUGUCCCCGGACUUGCCGGGGGACAGCCUGCAGCCAUCGACGACGAAGCGGCGUGGGCGGAAGCCCGGGCCGCGGCCUGAUGGGCCCGCCGUCAGCCACGUGGAGGCCGAGAGGCAGCGCCGCGACAAGCUGAAUCGCCGGUUCUGCGACCUGCGUGCCGCCGUGCCCAACGUGUCCCGCAUGGACAAGGCCUCCCUCCUCGCCGACGCCGUCGCCUACAUCACCGACCUGCGGUCCCGCGUCGCGCGACUGGAGGUAGAGGGCCGGCAGGCGGCCGCCGCGAGGUGCGAGGCGUGGAACGCGUCUGCUUCUUCGUCCUGGGGUGGCCACGCCGGGGCCUCCCUGCACCACGUGGCCGCCGACGAUGUGGUGGAGGUGCGGAUGGUGGGGAAGGACGCGGCGGCAGUGCGCAUGAUGAGCCCGGGACAAGCCCCGCACGCGCCAGCGCGGCUGAUGAGUGCGCUCCGGUCGCUAGAGCUGCAGGUACAGCACGCGUGCGUGAACCGCGUGGAGGGCGUGACGGUGCAGGACGUCGUCGUCGACGUGCCCGCUGCCCUACAGGACGACGACGGCGACGGCGCCCUCCGGUCCGCGCUGCUCCAGAGGCUACGUUACACCGCCUAG
rnacentral:rRNA from 1 species